rnacentral:lncRNA from 1 species
AGAGUUUAUGGAUGCUCUGCAAACACUAAGCUCAAAUAAGGAAUUUAUCUUGACACUCCUACAAGAUCCAAAUUCAAGGCUGUUAAAGCAAAUUGGAAGUUUGGAGGAUGCUCAGUUUGAGGAAAAGCAGAAAACUAACUUGAUUCCUGAAUCUAAUAUGUCAAAGGAAAACCGAGUUCAUGCAAAAACAGAUGACGUCAUAAACCACAAGCAACGCAAAUUUUUCAGGAGGAGGAGCAAGUCUCAAGAAAUUUACCCCCCAAUGGAAGAUGAGACUCCCCGACCUUCAAGUAAAAUCGUUAUUUUGAAGCCUGGACCAGUGGGCUUGCACGCUCAGUUUGAGGAAAAGCAGAAACCUAACUUGAUUCCAGAAUCUAAUAUGUCAAAGGAAAACCGAGUUCAUGCAAAAACAGAUGACGUCAUAAACCACAAACAACGCAAAUUUUUCAGGAGGAG